AAAUAUAUUCGCUGGCUGUCUCUGAUUGGAUAACUAGCGUGCUUUCCAUUUCUUAUUUUGUUUUAUUAUUUUAUUUUAUGGAUGCGACUCUGAAUCACCAAAGGGCGCCUGGCCCAGUGAUGAGGGGGUUGACCCCCUCUAACCCCAAGGUCAGGGGUUCAACCCCUAGCACGCACAUUUGUUCCAUUUUUGUUUCUUUUCUUUUUGUUUUACUUAUUUUUACCCAAUUUAUUUUUCAUUUCGAAUGAUUUUUUUACCAUAUUUUUUUAUUUUGCUGAAAAUAUUCCAAACAUAGACUCAUGUUAUUUUUG
rnacentral:lncRNA from 1 species